rnacentral:lncRNA from 1 species
UUUCUAUCCCUCACUUUCAACUAAUUUGCGUGGACUCUUUGCUCCAAAUAUCCUCAUCCUUGUCAAUCUUGAGAUUUAAAUGAACCAUUGUAUCAAUGAUCUUUAUAAGACUCUUAUCAUUAACAUUUGCCCUUAUAAACUCUUCUAACUCCAUUGUCAACUUCGUUUUGAGACCUUUUAUUUUUAACUUAAUCGAACGAACUCAAUCCACCAAUCCCUUUUUUAGGGCCUCCAAUUUAAUCAAUAAAUCACUAGAAGUAGAC